rfam:Ovis aries breed Texel chromosome 18, whole genome shotgun sequence.
UCCUUGGUGGCUCAGAUGGUAAAGCAUCUGCCCGCAAUACAGGAUACCCAGGUUUGAUUCCUGGGUCGGGAA